GGCAUUUCCAAAAAUACUCUUCUACUUGUAUUUUGAAUGAAGUCAUCAGACUGGCUCAGUGCAAACUGAACUGAAAAUAGAGGUGCUCGCUAAAAAUGUGUUCUGUGCUUGCUGCAGAGGAAAAAGACUGAGGGAAAAGGACUGCAGAGGAUUUGAGGCAAAUCACAUGGCAGUGUGUCUCUGGUGCAGGAUGUAUAAACACAUGAGGGUUUCGCCUGACCUCACAAAUGCAAUGAGACAACCGCAGUUUUGGAGCAGACAAACUCAGUGACAAACCGAAGCAAGACCUCAAUUUGAUGGGAGAGAGCGGGAUGGUGAGAGCAGUCCUUAAACAUUUAUUACACUGCUUCCCUGCAGAUGUACAAUUUCCCAUGUUUUUUCAUGCACUUUGCAGCAUGUCCUGGUGAGCACCACCUAUCCGGACUCUUUUUUAGUGGACUGAUGGAGGGUGAGGCUGCAGGCGGUGACUGCCAGGUCUUGUCUGGCCCCCAUGCCUGCUCCAUGCACUGCUGCCACCAUGUCCUGCAAACCCCUGUGGUCCUGGGAAUUGGAGGUUUCCAUGACAGACCUGGAAUGGAGGAGAUUGGUGAAGACAACCUCCAGACCAGCCGUCACAGAGAUUCAGUGUGUGCUUGAUGUGCUGCCCUUGUGACUCCGGAAUUGCUGGAUCAGCCUGAAAAAUUUAAGAGUAUUGAGGUACCCAAGACUCUUUUCCUCCUUUGAAACAAUCCCAUUCUGUAAUUAAAGUUAAUUUAGAGAAUGAAUUAAAUUCAACGUACAUAAGUUAGUAUAUAUGUUAAUAUUUAAUGUGCAUAUUAAAUAUAUAGAUGGUCUCAGCCAUGAAUAUGCUCAUGACCUUAGUCCUAAACAUCCUCCCUUUGCCCCAAAUGAAACACAGAAUUAUUUCUUUUUAUUGAUUUAACCUUAUAAUUGCUUUAUAAAUUCUGAAAUUAUUUUGUCAAACUUCACUGUUCUGCAAGUGUUCUUUUCCCCUUCUCUUUUGCAUUUCAGAAAUUACUGUCACAUUAAUUCUCAGAGCUGGGCAUUGUGGUUAGGUUGUUUUGCCUUAUCUUUUCAUUUUUGUUUACAACUUCUUGAAGUUAUUAUAAACAGAAACUUGUUUAUGGGUUACUACGCCAGAUGCUUUGCAAUAAAAUGCGCAUCGUCUUCCUAAGCA
rnacentral:lncRNA from 1 species